UGCGAGAUGGAGCAGUGGUUAGCUCGCUAGUCGGCGUCGGCUAGAGGUCGCAGGUUCGAAUCCUGCUCUCGCAA
rnacentral:tRNA from 1 species